rnacentral:rRNA from 1 species
ACCCAAAUUUUUAUCCAGGUUGACCUCGGAUCAGGUAGGGAUACCCGCUGAACUUAAGCAUAUCAAUAAGCGGAGGAAAAGAAACCAACAGGGAUUGCCCCAGUAACGGCGAGUGAAGCGGCAAGA